rnacentral:misc_RNA from 1 species
AUUUGGGGAGUAAAGUGGUGUAUAAUACAUACUUUGAUUAUAGUUCGUCGGGGGCAACGGCUAAUUGGAGGGAUACCUUGACGAUCUUCAUGGAGCCGCAGCCUCCGAAGCCGGAAGAGUUGCCGAUAGAUUGCAGAGAUGCAAUAACCAACUACUCUGAUCAUAUCAAAAAGUUGGGGAAUACCCUGUUGGGGUUGCUGUCAGAGUCCCUUGGCCUGAGCACUGACCAUCUGAAAGAUAUGGAGUGUACCAAAGGACUGCAUAUAGUCGGCCAUUAUUACCCAUCAUGCCCGGAACCAGAGCUCACCAUCGGGGUCGGAAAACAUUCUGAUCCAACAUUCCUAACCAUCCUUUUACAAGACCAGAUUGGAGGUUUACAAGUGCUUCAUCAAAAUGGAUGGAUCGACGUGGUUCCAGUGCCAGGCGCACUAGUUAUUAAUAUUGGCGAUCUUCUGCAGCUGAUCUCGAAUGACAAACUUAAG